CAAAGCAAUAAUGCUAGUAUGCUAUCGUUGGAUGGAUGGAUGGACGGACGGACGGACGUACAUGGCCACGCCAUUGGCUCGGGGUAGGCCGCUCGGCCCGCCCCGUGCGUGCGUGUCAAACAUCGUGCGAUUGCCAGAAAAGCUCCGGGGCUUUAAGCCCUCCUCCGCCUUUCUUCCCACAGGUUAUGGCGAGGCUUAACUAAGUGGGGAUCGAGCUAGCCCCUCCUAUGGGCGCUGAGAUUAGUGGAGCGGCGAGAGGAGAGGCCACGCACCGCGGCGGCCCUACGCCCCCGCGUCCCCUUUGCUUCCUGGCCAAUGGGCUCGAUCGGUGUUCAGUUGAAGGAGUACCCCAUGCCAUUCCAUUCCAUGGCUGCUUUUCUCGGCAGCCAGUGCUUCUGAAAUCUAUCUAAACGUACGACCACCUGUUAUAUAAUGAUAAGGUUGCGGUGGCAAUUAUUGUGCUGUCAUAUCGACGCAUCAAGGAGUGACUAUUACACUGAUCACUGAUCAGAGAAGCAGAUUCUGCAUUUACCGGUUGAGUUGACCCCCAUGUGAAAGUGUAACUGAAAGGCAGCAGUAAAAACUAAUGAACUACUACUAGCUAGCAGCAAGUGUCUGGCUUCUACAAGAUAAAGUUUCAGCUCCUCUUGUUUUUCUUUAACGUUCGUAGAGUAGUGACUCAAAAGACUCUGUUUGGAAUACUAGCACUUUUUCCUUUUCGCACAACAGAAUACUACCACUUGAACUUGAUGCUACUAUGUUAGUAGUAGACACAAGGGAACCUAGCCCACAAUGUGAGGCCAACGAGGAGCUUAAUCAUUGGAGAUUUCUGUUCA